ACUGGGGAACGAGGCCACGCGUGGGUCUGGGUCAAGUGUGACUGGGGAACGAGGCCACGCGUGGGUCUGGGUCAAGUGUGACUGGGGAACGAGGCCACGCGUGGGUCUGGGUCAAGUGUGACUGGGGAACGAGGCCACGCGUGGGUCUGGGUCAAGUGUGACUGGGGAACGAGGCCACGCGUGGGUCUGGGUCAAGUGUGACUGGGGAACGAGGCCACGCGUGGGUCUGGGUCAAGUGUGACUGGGGAACGAGGCCACGCGUGGGUCUGGGUCAAGUGUGACUGGGGAACGAGGCCACGCGUGGGUCUGGGUCAAGUGUGACUGGGGAACGAGGCCACGCGUGGGUCUGGGUCAAGUGUGACUGGGGAACGAGGCCACGCGUGGG